CAGUAGCCGCGGUAAUACGUAGGGUGCAAGCGUUAAUCGGAAUUACUGGGCGUAAAGCGUGCGCAGGCGGUUUUGUAAGACAGAGGUGAAAUCCCCGGGCUCAACCUGGGAACUGCCUUUGUGACUGCAAGGCUAGAGUACGGCAGAGGGGGAUGGAAUUCCGCGUGUAGCAGUGAAAUGCGUAGAUAUGCGGAGGAACACCGAUGGCGAAGGCAAUCCCCUGGGCCUGUACUGACGCUCAUGCACGAAAGCGUAGGGAGCAAACAGGAUUAGAUACCCCUGUAGUCCCUGUCUCUUAUAC
rnacentral:rRNA from 1 species